rnacentral:rRNA from 1 species
UGAAAAUUGAAACGACACACAGCUCAUGUGUGUUCGAGUCUCUCAAAUUUUCGCAAGUCGAUGNUUGACCCGGCGAUGUCCGAAUGGGGAAACCCAGUGCAAUCCGUUGCACUAUCGUUAACUGAAUACAUAGGUUAACGAGGCGAACCGGGGGAACUGAAACAUCUAAGUACCCCGAGGAAAAGAAAUCAACCGAGAUUCCCCCAGUAGCGGCGAGCGAACGGGGAGCAGCCCGGAGUCUGAAUCAGCUUGUGUGUUAGUGGAACGGUCUGGAAAGUCCGACGGUACAGGGUGAUAGUCCCGUACACGAAAGCACACUUGCUGUGAACUCGAAGAGUAGGGCGGGACACGUGGUAUCCUGUCUGAAUAUGGGGGGACCAUCCUCCAAGGCUAAAUACUCCUGACUGACCGAUAGUGAACCAGUACCGUGAGGGAAAGGCGAAAAGAACCCCGGCGAGGGGAGUGAAAAAGAACCUGAAACCGUGUACGUACAAGCAGUGGGAGCCUCUUUAUGGGGUGACUGCGUACCUUUUGUAUAAUGGGUCAGCGACUUAUAUUCUGUAGCAAGGUUAACCGUAUAGGGGAGCCGAAGGGAAACCGAGUCUUAACUGGGCGUUAAGUUGCAGGGUAUAGACCCGAAACCCGGUGAUCUAGCCAUGGGCAGGUUGAAGGUUGGGUAACACUAACUGGAGGACCGAACCGACUAAUGUUGAAAAAUUAGCGGAUGACCUGUGGCUGGGGGUGAAAGGCCAAUCAAACCGGGAGAUAGCUGGUUCUCCCCGAAAGCUAUUUAGGUAGCGCCUCGUGAACUCAUCUUCGGGGGUAGAGCACUGUUUCGGCUAGGGGGCCAUCCCGGCUUACCAACCCGAUGCAAACUACGAAUACCGAAGAAUGUUAUCACGGGAGACACACGGCGGGUGCUAACGUCCGUCGUGAAGAGGGAAACAACCCAGACCGCCAGCUAAGGUCCCAAAGUCAUGGUUAAGUGGGAAACGAUGUGGGAAGGCACAGACAGCCAGGAUGUUGGCUUAGAAGCAGCCAUCAUUUAAAGAAAGCGUAAUAGCUCACUGGUCGAGUCGGCCUGCGCGGAAGAUGUAACGGGGCUAAACCAUGCACCGAAGCUGCGGCAGCGACGCUUAUGCGUUGUUGGGUAGGGGAGCGUUCUGUAAGCCGUUGAAGGUGUGCUGUGAGGCAUGCUGGAGGUAUCAGAAGUGCGAAUGCUGACAUAAGUAACGAUAAAGCGGGUGAAAAGCCCGCUCGCCGGAAGACCAAGGGUUCCUGUCCAACGUUAAUCGGGGCAGGGUGAGUCGACCCCUAAGGCGAGGCCGAAAGGCGUAGUCGAUGGGAAACAGGUUAAUAUUCCUGUACUUGGUGUUACUGCGAAGGGGGGACGGAGAAGGCUAUGUCAGCCGGGCGACGGUUGUCCCGGUUUAAGCAUGUAGGCGGAGGUUCCAGGUAAAUCCGGUACCUUAUUAACGCUGAGGUGUGAUGACGAGGCACUACGGUGCUGAAGUGAUAAAUGCCCUGCUUCCAGGAAAAGCCUCUAAGCAUCAGGUAACACGAAAUCGUACCCCAAACCGACACAGGUGGUCAGGUAGAGAAUACCAAGGCGCUUGAGAGAACUCGGGUGAAGGAACUAGGCAAAAUGGUGCCGUAACUUCGGGAGAAGGCACGCUGAUGUGUAGGUGAAGCCCCUGCGGGUGGAGCUGAAAUCAGUCGAAGAUACCAGCUGGCUGCAACUGUUUAUUAAAAACACAGCACUGUGCAAACACGAAAGUGGACGUAUACGGUGUGACGCCUGCCCGGUGCCGGAAGGUUAAUUGAUGGGGUUAGCGGCAACGCGAAGCUCUUGAUCGAAGCCCCGGUAAACGGCGGCCGUAACUAUAACGGUCCUAAGGUAGCGAAAUUCCUUGUCGGGUAAGUUCCGACCUGCACGAAUGGCGUAAUGAUGGCCAGGCUGUCUCCACCCGAGACUCAGUGAAAUUGAACUCGCUGUGAAGAUGCAGUGUACCCGCGGCAAGACGGAAAGACCCCGUGAACCUUUACUAUAGCUUGACACUGAACACUGGUCCUUGAUGUGUAGGAUAGGUGGGAGGCUUUGAAGCGUGGACGCCAGUCUGCGUGGAGCCAACCUUGAAAUACCACCCUUUAAUGGCUGGUGUUCUAACGUAGACCCGUAAUCCGGGUUGCGGACAGUGUCUGGUGGGUAGUUUGACUGGGGCGGUCUCCUCCCAAAGAGUAACGGAGGAGCACGAAGGUUGGCUAAUCCUGGUCGGACAUCAGGAGGUUAGUGCAAUGGCAUAAGCCAGCUUGACUGCGAGCGUGACGGCGCGAGCAGGUGCGAAAGCAGGUCAUAGUGAUCCGGUGGUUCUGAAUGGAAGGGCCAUCGCUCAACGGAUAAAAGGUACUCCGGGGAUAACAGGCUGAUACCGCCCAAGAGUUCAUAUCGACGGCGGUGUUUGGCACCUCGAUGUCGGCUCAUCACAUCCUGGGGCUGAAGUAGGUCCCAAGGGUAUGGCUGUUCGCCAUUUAAAGUGGUACGCGAGCUGGGUUUAGAACGUCGUGAGACAGUUCGGUCCCUAUCUGCCGUGGGCGCUGGAGAAUUGAGGGGGGCUGCUCCUAGUACGAGAGGACCGGAGUGGACGCAUCACUGGUGUUCGGGUUGUCAUGCCAAUGGCACUGCCCGGUAGCUAAAUGCGGAAGAGAUAAGUGCUGAAAGCAUCUAAGCACGAAACUUGCCCCGAGAUGAGUUCUCCCUGAGACUUUAAGUCUCCUGAAGGAACGUUGAAGACGACGACGUUGAUAGGUCGGGUGUGUAAGCGCAGCGAUGCGUUGAGCUAACCGAUACUAAUGAACCGUGAGGCUUAACC